rnacentral:rRNA from 1 species
UGGGGAAUAUUGCACAAUGGGCGCAAGCCUGAUGCAGCCAUGCCGCGUGUAUGAAGAAGGCCUUCGGGUUGUAAAGUACUUUCAGCGAGGAGGAAGGCAUUAAGGUUAAUAACCUUAGUGAUUGACGUUACUCGCAGAAGAAGCACCGGCUAACUCCGUGCCAGCAGCCGCGGUAAUACGGAGGGUGCAAGCGUUAAUCGGAAUUACUGGGCGUAAAGCGCACGCAGGCGGUCUGUUAAGUCAGAUGUGAAAAUCCCCCGGGCUCAAGCCU